AGUGGGAUAGCUGGAUCAUAUGGUGAUUCCAUUCCCAGUUUUCUGAGGAAUCUCCUCCAUACUGUUUUCCAUAAUGGUUGAACCAAUUUGCAGUUCUACUAGCAAU
rnacentral:pre_miRNA from 1 species